rnacentral:lncRNA from 1 species
UUUUUGGUCAAGGUAGUUUUUGAUGAAGUUGAAGUCCAAUCAACUUGAAACUUAGAAUGUUCCCUUUGAUAUGAUCUUUCUAAUUUUAAUGCCAAAUUAGAUUUUUUACCCAAUUUCACGGUCCAUUGAACAUGGAAAAUGAUAGUGCGAGUGGGGCAUCCGUGUACUUUGGACACAUUCUUGUUUCUCUUUAAAAACCAAUUAUUAGGAAGAGAUUCAAUAUAAAUGGGGGGAAAACGUUUGAAUCUUAUAUAGCAC